AUUGAACGCUGGCGGCAGGCCUAACACAUGCAAGUCGAACGGUAACAGGAAGAAGCUUGCUUCUUUGCUGACGAGUGGCGGACGGGUGAGUAAUGUCUGUGAAACUGCCUGAUGGAGGGGGAUAACUACUGGAAACGGUAGCUAAUACCGCAUAACGUCGCAAGACCAAAGAGGGGGACCUUCGGGCCUCUUGCCAUCGGAUGUGCCCAGAUGGGGUUAGCUAGUAGGUGGGGUAACGGCUCACCUAGGCGACGAUCCCUAGCUGGUCUGAGAGGAUGACCAGCCACACUGGAACUGAGACACGGUCCAGACUCCUACGGGAGGCAGCAGUGGGGAAUAUUGCACAAUGGGCGCAAGCCUGAUCCAGCCAUGCCGCGGGUAUGAAGAAGGCCUUCGGGUUGUAAAGUCCUUUUGGCGGGAAAGAAGGGAGUAAGGUUAAUACCUUGCCUCUUUGACGUUACCCAAAGAAGAAGCACCGGCUAACUCCGU
rnacentral:rRNA from 1 species